UAUCCCCCUUCCCCACCCCAUCAUUGCUGACCAGUGUAUAUCUCUGUACAUAGGUGUAUGAGAUAUACACUGGUCAGAAAUGAUGGGGUGGGGAAGGGGGAUA